GAGAAUUGUCAACUCUGACACACCAGAAAUGACACUCAGCAGGGCUUAGCAACCAUGGUCUCUUCUCUGAACCCAUGAAGUGAAGUGGAAACUGGAGGGGUGUCAGCCAAGUUACAAAGGAAUGGCUGAAGCUGGGAGGCCCCACAGGAAAGAAAACGCUGGAAAAAUAGAAGCUUCUGGCCCCAGUGUUCUCACGCAUGACCAUAAUAAUUAAAAAGAAGCUUUGGCAGCCACCCCAGAGCAAGCUCAUGAGGAGAGAUGGGUCACAGAGCUGACCAGCAGUUCUGGAGUGAGGGUGGCCCUGGAGAAGCUGAAGUCCCAGGGGACGCCUGCAUCUGCAUGGCAGGAACCAAGUCUGUCAGUGAUUCUCCUCUCCCUCGAAACCAUCACUGCAAGAUCCCGCUCUGCCAUUUACUAGCUGUGUGACUUUAGGGACAACCAAACCAGCUCCUCCUGGAGAUCCCGGCCCCCUCCCUCUGGACAGCUGAACGGAAGUGAAGCUAACACGUCACCAAUUCCCAGACUUAGAUUCUGCAGCCUGGCGCCCCGCAUUGCAACAGCAGAGCCCCCAUGCUGUAGGAGUGACCAGCAUGGGCCCUGUGUGGCAGGAAGCAAACCCUCAGAAGCAAGACCCAGAGUCCCGGCACAGGGGAGAGUGCAGAGUCUGCAGCCACCACCAGAAGACCUUGCUGGGUUAACAGAGCAGCAGCCGGAGUUCCGCAGAGUUGGACAAGACACCAUCCUCGGCCACCCACUGACAAACGCGGCACUAACAACUGCCACCUCACCUUCCAUUUAACUGGCUCCCAAACGAUGAAUGCAAACUGAGCUGUCUUAAGUUAAACUCGCCUCUUUCCAUGGCCCAGUAUGG
rnacentral:lncRNA from 10 species